GCUGGUGUAGCUCAGAGGCAGAGCACGGCACUUGUAAUGCCGGGGUCGAGAUUCCGAAAUUCUCCACCAGCUCCA
rnacentral:tRNA from 1 species